GUGUUAUGGUUGAGUUUGGUAGUUAUUGGUGAGUUGGCAUUGAUGUUUGUGUGUGGUUGAGUUAGGCAAUUGAAUGAGUUGAUUUGUUUUUGAAAAUUAAUUGAAUUUGUAAAUGUCUUGCUUAUUUUAAAGUCAAUGAAAGUUUGAUAACGAAUUGAAUUAAAUGCAUUGGUUACGGUUGAGGAAGAGAGUUAAAUGAAUUGCUUUGUGUUUGAUAAGGAAUUGAAUUAUCGAUAGUAAAUGACUUGCUUUGUCUUUGGUUAUUGUUGUGAAAUGGUAAUUAAUAUAAGGUAGAUACAUGUCAAGUCCUCUCUCUGUUGUUAGUUGAAUGCUAUCUGUAAAUGAAGCUUUGAAGAACAUGGAUCACAUUAAUGAAUGCUAAACAACGACCACUACUUGAUUAUGAAGAAGCUUUGAAGAAGAAACUCAUUAAUGAGUUGAUAUCUGACUAGUUUAAGUCUCGGUUUGUCAU
rnacentral:lncRNA from 1 species